UACGUAGGGUGCAAGCGUUAAUCGGAAUUACUGGGCGUAAAGCGUACGCAGGCGGCUUGGUAAGACAGAUGUGAAAUCCCCGGGCUUAACCUGGGAACUGCAUUUGUGACUGCCAGGCUCGAGUCUGUCAGAGGGGGGUGGAAUUCCACGUGUAGCAGUGAAAUGCGUAGAGAUGUGGAGGAACACCGAUGGCGAAGGCAGCCCCCUGGGAUGAGACUGACGCUCAUGUACGAAAGCGUGGGGAGCAAACAGG
rnacentral:rRNA from 1 species